GCGGGGGUGGCGGAGCUUGGUCAAACGUGCUAGCUUGAGGGGCUAGUCCCUUAGUGGGUGCGCGUGUUCAAAUCACGUCCCCCGCA
rnacentral:tRNA from 1 species